CCUACGGGAGGCAGCAGUGGGGAAUAUUGGACAAUGGGCGAAAGCCUGAUCCAGCAAUGCCGCGUGAGUGAUGAAGGCCUUCGGGUCGUAAAGCUCUUUUACCAGGGAUGAUAAUGACAGUACCUGGAGAAUAAGCUCCGGCUAACUCCGUGCCAGCAGCCGCGGUAAUACGGAGGGAGCUAGCGUUGUUCGGAAUUACUGGGCGUAAAGAGUACGUAGGCGGUUAUUCAAGUCAGAGGUGAAAGCCCGGGGCUCAACCCCGGAACUGCCUUUGAAACUAGAUAACUAGAGUCUUGGAGAGGUUAGUGGAAUUCCGAGUGUAGAGGUGAAAUUCGUAGAUAUUCGGAAGAACACCAGUGGCGAAGGCGACUAACUGGACAAGUACUGACGCUGAGGUACGAAAGCGUGGGGAGCAAACAGGAUUAGAUACCCUGGUAGUCCACGCCGUAAACGAUGAUAACUAGUUGUUCGGUCACUUGGUGACUGAGUGACGCAGCUAACGCAUUAAGUUAUCCGCCUGGGGAGUACGGUCGCAAGNUUAAACUUAAAGGAAUUGACGGCUGAGANGCGAGCGACACGAGGAGUAG
rnacentral:rRNA from 1 species